GCCCAGAUAGCUCAGUAGGUAGAGCAAAGGAUUGAAAAUCCUUGUGUCGGCGGUUCGAAUCCGCCUCUGGGCACCA
rnacentral:tRNA from 1 species